UUACAGUCAUAUCACGUUGAAUAACCGGUUCUCGUGCGAUCACAGAAGGUAAGCAAGGUCGAACCAGGUCAGUAUCUAGAUGGAUGACCGCUUGAGAAUAUCGGAUGCUGUAA